rnacentral:rRNA from 1 species
GGCAAGUCGAGCGGAUGACGGGAGCUUGCUCCUUGAUUCAGCGGCGGACGGGUGAGUAAUGCCUAGGAAUCUGCCUGGUAGUGGGGGACAACGUUUCGAAAGGAACGCUAAUACCGCAUACGUCCUACGGGAGAAAGCAGGGGACCUUCGGGCCUUGCGCUAUCAGAUGAGCCUAGGUCGGAUUAGCUAGUUGGUGGGGUAAUGGCUCACCAAGGCGACGAUCCGUAACUGGUCUGAGAGGAUGAUCAGUCACACUGGAACUGAGACACGGUCCAGACUCCUACGGGAGGCAGCAGUGGGGAAUAUUGGACAAUGGGCGAAAGCCUGAUCCAGCCAUGCCGCGUGUGUGAAGAAGGUCUUCGGAUUGUAAAGCACUUUAAGUUGGGAGGAAGGGCAGUAAGUUAAUACCUUGCUGUUUUGACGUUACCGACAGAAUAAGCACCGGCUAACUCUGUGCCAGCAGCCGCGGUAAUACAGAGGGUGCAAGCGUUAAUCGGAAUUACUGGGCGUAAAGCGCGCGUAGGUGGUUUGUUAAGUUGGAUGUGAAAGCCCCGGGCUCAACCUGGGAACUGCCUCCAAAACUGGCAAGCUAGAGCACGGUAGAGGGUGUUGGAACUUCCUGUGUA